GAAUCCUUUUCCGAACGAAGAGGAGUUAUCCGAAAUAGAGGAAGGAGAAGGACUCGGGCUCCCGAUUUUGUUACACGUCGCAGCCAACAUGGCUAAAGGAGUCGACCCCAAUCUCGGCUCCUCCUGGAAGAAAAUGAGUUAGAAGCAGGAGGUGGGACAGAGAGACCAGAUGUCCCUGUGUGUGCAGGGCUGCCAAGUGAGGCUAGAGCAGUGAAGCCCGAGACACAAGAGCCCAAAUGGUGUGACAAAGGAGGAGCAGGAAGCCUGGCUCUGCCUGGAUGAACCUCAGAGAGCGCCAGUCCACAUCCACAUCCCAGCCCCAACCCUCGGCCCACGUCCCACAACCCCAUUGAACUACUAGAGCAGGGCCACGGACCAUGUGCUGACUUUUUGCUGGAUCACACAACCAUUGACAUGAUCACAGGAGUGUAAACGCUGACAUAUGAUCACUAGAGGACAAGUGAGCGCGGUUUAAGCAGCAAGCUCACACAUAUGCAGCGUACUCCCCACAAAACAUGUCAUUUUAUAUGUUAUUCAAGGCUCUUGUGUAUUUAAAACACACACUUGUCAACGAAUAUAAGCUGCAUUUGGGUAACUAAUGAAUUCACACCAACCAGAUAAGGUGGUAUUUGUCAUAUGACAUACACCAGCGUACAUCGCUUCUAUGUGUCCCAUGUCCAAUAACUCAUUCAUCUUGAUUUAAUCAGUGUUGUGUGGACACUAGAUGGGGGAGGAGGCAUCCAGCAGCUAAUCACCAAAGCUAAACACCUGGAAACGUGGCAUCAUGGGCUAUGUGGUCAUUAUCAUUAUCAUAAGCUCUCUAAUUAACCUACAAAUCACAUGCUAAUGUAACACAGUAUACAGGAGCCAGUGUACUUAAUGAAUGACAGAUGCAAAUUUUCUUAGGUUUUAAAUAUGACAACAGGUCAGCUUUUGCUAUGAUCUGAGCGACUUGUUUUGAUCAGAAACUUUAAUUUUAGGGGUUACAGGGGCGAUUUGAUGUUUUAAAAGUUAAUCCUCUGGAUUGCAAGAUUUGGACCAGAAGUUGCAUUGUGUCUGUUAAAGUUGCAUGAGAAAUAAGGAGACAAACAAAGUGACAUGGAUUUCUAGGAUCUACAAUAUUAUCACAAAGUUAUAUAUAUAUAUAUAUAUAAUCUCACAGACAAUACAACUAGACAGAUGUCAAAAUAUGGAUAAAUAAAUAAAAACAAAAAAUAGAAAUAAAUAAUAGAUACAAACAAUAAAUAAAUAGGCAGGCAGGCAGAGAGAGAAAGAGAGAGAGAAUAAAUAAAUAAAUAAAUAAAGGAUAUGGAUAGAUAAAUAGAUAAAUAAAUAAAUAAAUAAAAAAUACAAAUAAAUAAUAGAUACAAUUAAAUAAAUAAACUAGAUAGAUAGAUUUAUGGAUAUGGAUAAAUAAAUAAAUUAAACAAAAAUAGAAAUAAAUAAUAGAUAAAUUAAAUAAAUAAACAAACAUAGAUAGAUAGAUAGAUAGAUAGAUAGAUAGAUAGAUAGAUAGAUAGAUAGAUAGAUAGAUAUAUAGAUAGAUAGAUAGAUAGAUAUGGAUAAAUAAAUAAAAACAAAAAUAGAAAUAAAUAAUAGAUACAAUUAAAUAAACAAAUAGAUAGACAGGUAGACAGACAGGCAGACAGACAGACAGACAGACAGAUAGAUAGAUAGAUAGAUAGAUAGAUAGAUAGAUAGAUAGAUAGAUAGAUAGAUAGAUAGAUAGAUAGAUAGAUAGAUAGAUAGAUAGAUAGAUAGAUAGAUAGAUAGAUAGAUAGAUAUGGAUAAAUAAAUAAAAACAAAAAUAGAAAUAAAUAAUAGAUACAAUUAAAUAAACAAAUAGAUAGACAGGUAGACAGACAGACAGACAGACAGACAGACAGACAGACAGAUAGAUAGAUAGAUAGAUAGAUAGAUAGAUAGAUAGAUAGAUAGAUAGAUAGAUAGAUAGAUAGAUAGAUAGAUAGAUAGAUAGAUAGAUAGAUUAAUUGAUUGAUUGAUUGAUGUGGAUAAAUAAAUAAAUUAAAACAAAAAUAGAAAUAAAUAAUAGAUACAAUUAAAUAAAUAAACAAAUAGAUAGACAGGUAGACAGACAGACAGAGAGACAGACAGACAGACAGAUAGAUAGAUAGAUAGAUAGAUAGAUAGAUAGAUAGAUAGAUAGAUAGAUAGAUAGAUAGAUAGAUAGAUAGAUAGAUAGAUUGAUUAAUUGAUUGAUUGAUGUGGAUAAAUAAAUUAAUUAAAACAAAAAUAGAAAUAAAUAAUAGGUACAAUUAAAUAAAUAAACAUAGAUAGACAGACAUACAGUAGAUAGAUAGCAAAUAAAUAAAUAAAUAGAACACAUUUCCCAUGCCUUUACAUAAGUGCUUUUUAUCAAAAGCUACUAGUUUAAUCACAGUGGUAUUGCCAAAUACAGUAUCUAACACUUGUGUUCCUUCAGCCAUGCAUGAAAACGCGGUUAAGUAUGAUGCGUUCUGAGGAGCAGUGCUUUUGUGUGAGAGGGUUUGUCAGGCUAUUUGCUGUCCAGUGAGGUCAUCAGGAGUGGGUAAGCAGGCUUUGUAAGGGCCCCUGCACAGGUGUGGCAGCAGCCCUUGCUGAAGGAGUGCAGUGAAGCACGAACAAUCAUCUAAAUGUCUGUGAGAUGAAAUGGCUAGUUAACAAUCUUUUGACUGCCCCAACCUCAGAGCUUUUGUCGGGUAUCGAUCGACCAGCUGCCACUGGGUUAUUGUCAGCCUGGAUGGAAGCCCCUUUGGCUGGGAGGGAUGGGUCGCAGUUUAUGUGUGUGUGUGUGUGUGUGUGUUGGGUAGACGGGUGUUGCUUCUUUCUAAAAGGCUUUUUUCCCCCUUUAAGUUGUAGUUUAGUCUAGUUAAUUAGGUAAUAGUCUUUAUUUUAAAAGCGUGUGGACAAAAAGGAAAAAAAUGUCUUUGAGUGCAGCUCAUGGUUUAGUUAACUGAGAGUUAACAGUUAACUGAGCAGCUAAUGUGUGCAUGUCAUUCAAUAAAAGUAUGCACCAUGUAUAUGAAUAAAAUAUUCACCAAAUGUCAACCUAAAAAAAUCAUGUACAAUAACAUCUAAAUUAAAAUGAGUUCAUUUUAAGUCAAGAAUAUUAUUCAACACUAGUACAUCAGCUUAAAAAUAUUAAAUACAGAUAGAUAGAUUGCAGCUAUUCAAUACACAGUUUAUUCCUAGACUUUUCUGUCCUCUACAUUACUCCAGUGGGUGUGUGCAAGUUUGUCAGUGUGAGGGACAGCCAUAGAGCCAUGUGGCACUGAGUAAAGUGCUGAGAGUCAGCCCUGACUCCUACAGUUUCAGUAAUUAUCCACAACUGCCCAUUCUGUCCAUCCACGGCCAUAAUGGAGACCAGAGCGUGUGCCUGUCACUACUACAGAAAGGGAGGGAAGGGACAGGGGAGAGACAGGGCGGAGAGACAAGUAUUUGCCUACCUCAUUAUGUCAUUGCGGUGACACAAUAGCAACUUCUUUUUUUCUUUUGUCACUGUGACAAAACAUUUAAGUUAGCAAACUCAUUCCGAGAGGGGCCCUGCAUUGUUGUUAUUGGUUUGCUUCUAUUAGUUUAACUUUCAUGGACCUUUUAGACUUAUUAGACAAUGAAAUGAUCCAGAAUUAUAUUUGUUUUCAAGUUCUGUUCAGAGCAAACACACACACACACACACACACACACACACACACACACACACACACACACACACACACAAAAGUCAGUUAUAAUUACCAACUCAUAAUAUUAUGUAUAAUAAUUUAAAUGAUGUACUUGUAGGUAAGUUAAUAAAUGUACUUUAAUGUAA